UCCCCUCUAGCGAAGAGUCGCCAAUUGUCGGCGGCCUGCCCGGACCAUUGUUCUGGGAUAGCUAGAGGGGUUUUC
rnacentral:ncRNA from 1 species